rnacentral:rRNA from 1 species
AGCGAACGCUGGCGGCAGGCCUAACACAUGCAAGUCGAACGAACCUUUCGGGGUUAGUGGCGGACGGGUGAGUAACACGUGGGAACGUGCCUUUAGGUUCGGAAUAACUCAGGGAAACUUGUGCUAAUACCGACUGUGCCCUUCGGGGGAAAGAUUAAUCGCCUUUAGAGCGGCCCGCGUCUGAUUAGCUAGUUGGUUGAGGUAAUGGCUCACCAAGGCGACGAUCAGUAGCUGGUCUGAGAGGAUGAUCAGCCACAUUGGGACUGAGACACGGCCCAAACUCCUACGGGAGGCAGCAGUGGGGAAUCUUGCGCAAUGGGCGAAAGCCUGACGCAGCCAUGCCGCGUGAAUGAUGAAGGUCUUAGGAUUGUAAAAUUCUUUCACCGGGGACGAUAAUGACGGUACCCGGAGAAGAAGCCCCGGCUAACUUCGUG